CUAGCUUGCUAGAGAUGAUUAGUGGCGGACGGGUGAGUAACAUUUAGGAAUCUACCUAGUAGUGGGGGAUAGCUCGGGGAAACUCGAAUUAAUACCGCAUACGACCUACGGGUGAAAGGGGGCGCAAGCUCUUGCUAUUAGAUGAGCCUAAAUCAGAUUAGCUAGUUGGUGGGGUAAAGGCCCACCAAGGCGACGAUCUGUAACUGGUCUGAGAGGAUGAUCAGUCACACCGGAACUGAGACACGGUCCGGACUCCUACGGGAGGCAGCAGUGGGGAAUAUUGGACAAUGGGGGCAACCCUGAUCCAGCCAUGCCGCGUGUGUGAAGAAGGCCUUUUGGUUGUAAAGCACUUUAAGCAGGGAGGAGAGGCUAAUGGUUAAUACCCAUUAGAUUAGACGUUACCUGCAGAAUAAGCACCGGCUAACUCUGUGCCAGCAGCCGCGGUAAUACAGAGGGUGCGAGCGUUAAUCGGAAUUACUGGGCGUAAAGCGAGUGUAGGUGGCUCAUUAAGUCACAUGUGAAAUCCCCGGGCUUAACCUGGGAACUGCAUGUGAUACUGGUGGUGCUAGAAUAUGUGAGAGGGAAGUAGAAUUCCAGGUGUAGCGGUGAAAUGCGUAGAGAUCUGGAGGAAUACCGAUGGCGAAGGCAGCUUCCUGGCAUAAUAUUGACACUGAGAUUCGAAAGCGUGGGUAGCAAACAGGAUUAGAUACCCUGGUAGUCCACGCCGUAAACGAUGUCUACUAGCCGUUGGGGUCCUUGAGACUUUAGUGGCGCAGUUAACGCGAUAAGUAGACCGCCUGGGGAGUACGGCCGCAAGGUUAAAACUCAAAUGAAUUGACGGGGGCCCGCACAAGCGGUGGAGCAUGUGGUUUAAUUCGAUGCAACGCGAAGAACCUUACCUGGUCUUGACAUAGUGAGAAUCUCUCAGAGAUGAGAGAGUGCCUUCGGGAACUCACAUACAGGUGCUGCAUGGCUGUCGUCAGCUCGUGUCGUGAGAUGUUGGGUUAAGUCCCGCAACGAGCGCAACCCUUUUCCUUAUUUGCCAGCGGGUUAAGCCGGGAACUUUAAGGAUACUGCCAGUGACAAACUGGAGGAAGGCGGGGACGACGUCAAGUCAUCAUGGCCCUUACGACCAGGGCUACACACGUGCUACAAUGGUAGGUACAGAGGGUUGCUACACAGCGAUGUGAUGCUAAUCUCAAAAAGCCUAUCGUAGUCCGGAUUGGAGUCUGCAACUCGACG
rnacentral:rRNA from 1 species